GUGUGAUCUAGCUGUUAAAUUAAAGUCAAGGUAAGAAUUCUUUGAUCCCCUAGGGGACGAUAAGACCCUAGAAGCUUUAAAAAAGAAAAAUUUUUAGGCAUGGUGCAUACUUUUUUACUGGGGCGGUACUAGUAUUUUAACUAUUAGCAGUAAGGAUUGAUCCUUAAUAUAAAGAUAGCUCGGUAAAGUUACUCUAGGGAUAACAGUGCGGUAUUUUUGGAAAGAUCUUAUUAAUAAAAAUGUUCGCAACCUCGAUGUUGAAUUAAGAUGUCUACGUGGGGCAGCAAAUACAGUAGAGGGUUUGUUCAACCUUUAUAGUUUUACAUG
rnacentral:rRNA from 1 species